UUGGACUAUAUCAGCAAGUCCCAUCUUU
rnacentral:rRNA from 1 species